AAGACUAUACUUUUAGGGAUCAUUUCUAUAGUUUUUGACUUGAGAAAUGUGAUUCUAAUCUGUAUGGUCUCGCUAACCACGAUGAAGAGUCGUGAUAUUCCCUUCUGAGCGUGAAGCGGAUAGAGAAUAAUGAUUUAUUUCAUACGUUUUCUAUCAUUGAUGAUCGUUCUUUACUUCCUUUGUGGAGUGAUGAGGAAGGGAAUAUGGUCAGAGUGGUU
ensembl:snoRNA